rnacentral:rRNA from 1 species
AUUGAACGCUGGCGGCAGGCCUAACACAUGCAAGUCGAACGAGUGGCGGACGGGUGAGUACUGUCUGGGAAACUGUCUGAUGGAGGGGGAUAACUACUGGAAACGGUAGCUAAUACCGCAUACCAUCGGAUGUGCCCAGAUGGGAUUGGCUCGUAGGUGGGGUAAAGGCUCACCUAGGCGACGAUCCCUAGCUGGUCUGAGAGGAUGACCAGCCACGCUGGAACUGAGACACGGUCCAGACUCCUACGGUAGUCAGCAGUGGGAAAUAUUGCACGAAGGGCGCAAGCCGGAUGCAGCCAUGCCGCGUGUGUGAAGAAGGCCUUCGGGUUGUAAAGCACUUUCAGCGGGGAGGCGUUACCCGCAGAAGAAGGACCGGCUAACUCCGUGCCAGCCGCCGCGGUAAUUC